GACAGAGGUGCCAAGCGUUAGGCGGAAUCAUUGGGCGUAAAGGGUGCGUAGGUGGCGGGGUAAGUCUGGUGUGAAAUCUCGGGGCUCAACCCCGAAACUGCACUGGAUACUGCCUUGCUCGAGUACUGGAGAGGAGAUUGGAAUUUACGGUGUAGCAGUGAAAUGCGUAGAUAUCGUAAGGAAGACCAGUGGCGAAGGCGAAUCUCUGGACAGUUACUGACACUGAGGCACGAAGGCCAGGGGAGCAAACGGG
rnacentral:rRNA from 1 species